rnacentral:rRNA from 1 species
CCUACGGGAGGCAGCAGUGGGGAAUAUUGGGCAAUGGAGGAAACUCUGACCCAGCAACGCAGCGUGAAUGAUGACGGUCUUCGGAUUGUAAAGUUCUUUUCUAAGGGAAGAAGAAAGUGACGGUACCUUAGGAUUAAGCCUCGGCUAACUACGUGCCAGCAGCCGCGGUAAUCCGUAGGAGGCAAGCGUUAUCCGGAAUGACUGGGCGUAAAGGGUGCGUAGGUGGUUUGACAAGUUGGUAGCGUAACUCCGGGGCUCAACCUCGGCACUACUACCAAAACUGUCGGACUUGAGUGCAGGAGAGGCGAAUGGAAUUCCUAGUGUAGCGGUGGAAUGCGUAGAUAUUAGGAGGAACACCAGUGGCGAAGGCGAUUUGCUGGACUGUAACUGACACUGAGGCACGAAAGCGUGGGGAGCAAACAGGAUUAGAUACCCCAGUAGUC